GAUGAAGAACGUAGCGAAAUGCGAUACGUAAUGUGAAUUGCAGAAUUCAGUGAAUCAUCGAAUCUUUGAACGCACAUUGCGCCCGCCAGCACUCUGGCGGGCAUGCCUGUUCGAGCGUCAUUUCAACCAUCAAGCCCCAGGCUUGCGUUGGAGCCCUGCGGCUGCCGCAGCCUCCUAAAAGCAGUGGCGGGCUCGCUAUCACACCGAGUGCAGUAGAUUACUCUUCGCUCAGGGCGUGCAGCGGGUUCCGGCCGUGAAACCCCCUACUUUUAAAGGUUGACCUCGGAUCAGGUAGGAACACCCGCUGAACUUAAGCAUAUCAAUAAGCGGAGGA
rnacentral:misc_RNA from 1 species